GACAGAGGGUGCAAACGUUAUUCGGAAUUACUGGGCGUAAAGCGCGUGUAGGCGGCAGGGCAUGUCGGAUGUGAAAUCCCGUGGCUCAACCACGGAAGUGCACCCGAAACUGCCCAGCUUGAGUCUCGGAGAGGAAGGCGGAAUGCUUGGUGUAGAGGUGAAAUUCGUAGAUAUCAAGCGGAACACCGGUGGCGAAGGCGGCCUUCUGGACGAUGACUGACGCUGAGACGCGAAAGCGUGGGGAGCAAACAGG
rnacentral:rRNA from 1 species